rnacentral:rRNA from 1 species
UGCAAGUCGAACGGUAACAGAGAGAAGCUUGCUUCUCUGCUGACGAGUGGCGCACGGGUGAGUAAUAUAUAGGUAAUGUGCCCCUUGGACCGGGAUAGCCACUGGAAACGGUGAUUAAUACUGGAUACUCCUUUUAGUCAUAAGACUAAUCGGGAAAUGGAUUCCGCCAAGGGAUCGGCCUAUAUCCUAUCAGCUAGUUGGUGAGGUAAGAGCUCACCAAGGCGAUGACGGGUAGCGGGUUUGAGAGGAUGAUCCGCCACACUGGUACUGAGACACGGACCAGACUCCUACGGGAGGCAGCAGUGAGGAAUAUUGCACAAUGGGGGAAACCCUGAUGCAGCAACGCCGCGUGGAGGAUGACGCAUUUCGGUGUGUAAACUCCUUUUAUAUGUCAAGAAAAUGACGGUAGCAUAUGAAUAAGCACCGGCUAACUCCGUGCCAGCAGCCGCGGUAAUACGGAGGGUGCAAGCGUUAUUCGGAAUCACUGGGCGUAAAGGACGCGUAGGCGGGGUGGAAAGUCAGGUGUGAAAGCCUACAGCUUAACUGUAGAACUGCACUUGAAACUCUCACCCUAGAGUAUGGGAGGGGCAGAUGGAAUUAGUGGUGUAGGGGUAAAAUCCGUAGAUAUCACUAGGAAUACCGAAAGCGAAGGCGAUCUGCUGGAACAUAACUGACGCUAAGGCGUGAAAGCGUGGGGAGCAAACAGGAUUAGAUACCCUGGUAGUCCACGCCCUAACGAUGAACACUAGUCGUCGGGAUGCUCGUCAUCUCGGUGAUGCACUUAACAGA